UAUUUUGUGUGUUUUUGAAGA
ensembl:piRNA 21ur-1797 ncRNA